rnacentral:rRNA from 1 species
AUGGCGAGGGACGGGCAGAUCGAGCAGGCCGCAAAACGCGGAACGAGAUCCGGCCUCCCCGCACGUCACACAGCGCCGGCACCGCGCCGCCCAUGCCCUCGCCCGCCAGCAGGGAGUAAGGCCGCGACCCUCCAGCGACGCCGCACGACGGCAACGGCGACCUCCACGCAGCGCCCCGUCACGCGCCCCCGCGAGCCUCCCUCCCGGCACCUUCCGCGGCGAGAGGGCCCACCGCCACCGCGGCGCCGGCCAGCGGCAGCGGUGGUUGGUGGGGAUGUGGUACUCGGCGGCCGCGGAUCCGGAUGCGCCUCCCCCGGAUCGCCCGACGCAGACACGGGGCUUGGGGGAGAGUUGACUCGAGACAAAGUGUGCGUGCAAAUGGGAAAAUGUGGAGUUCACAGCUUCGCAAAAACUGAAUUGCAGAUACAGGGGAACAAGAAUGCCGCACUACUCCUGCCGAGCAGCAAUAUUAUGCCCAUCAAUGUAAACGACACCAACCUUGGCAAUCUUGGGCCGAUCAAGUUCGUCGUCGAGGCACCUCUGGAUCAGCUCCGGACUGCACUUGGAUAUGGAGAGCCUCUUCAGCGACGCCGGCAAGCCGUUCGCCGGCAGUGCCUGAAUGGCCGGGCAGUUGUCCACACACAGCUCUUCCAGCGCAGGCAGAGUGUACAGGUUCUCCGGCAGCUCACUCAGUUCACCGCAGCCUCUGAUGCUCAGGGUGUGCAGCUUCUCCAGCCACUCAAACUCCCAGGAACCGUCAAAGAACGCGCCACGGCUCCCGUCGAUCUCGAGUGUCUCGAGAAAAUGGAGCUUGUCAAACAUGUUCAGGGUCACAAACGACGUGUUCUCCAGCUGAAGGCUGUACACGUUGAACAUGGAGCUCAGCCAGUCCAGAGACUCAGCAACCUUGCCGCCAUGAUCGGAGCUCACGUGCGAGCAGCCGCUGAUCUUCAGCACCCACACCGAGAAGAGGAAAGGGUACUCGUCCACCCACCCGCCCCGCGCGACGAAGCACUCGCUGAUCUCCAGCGUCCGCAGCGACGCGUGGAACUUGUCCACGAGCAGCUUCGGGCAGUCGUACAGUGA